GAUGAACGCUAGCUACAGGCUUAACACAUGCAAGUCGCGGGGCAGCAUGGGGGUUGCUUGCAACUCCCGAUGGCGACCGGCGCACGGGUGAGUAACGCGUAUCCAACCUGCCCUUCACCACGGGAUAACCCGGCGAAAGUCGGACUAAUACCGUAUGUUGUCCAUUGACGGCAUCCGAUUUGGACGAAAGGCUUUGCGGUGAAGGAUGGGGAUGCGUCCGAUUAGCCAGACGGCGGGGUAACGGCCCACCGUGGCUACGAUCGGUAGGGGUUCUGAGAGGAAGGUCCCCCACACUGGAACUGAGACACGGUCCAGACUCCUACGGGAGGCAGCAGUGAGGAAUAUUGGUCAAUGGGCGUAAGCCUGAACCAGCCAAGUAGCGUGCAGGAUGACGGCCCUAUGGGUUGUAAACUGCUUUUAUGCGGAGAUAAAGUGGCCCACGUGUGGGCUUUUGCAGGUACCGCAUGAAUAAGGACCGGCUAAUUCCGUG
rnacentral:rRNA from 1 species